rnacentral:rRNA from 1 species
GUGUCAGCCGCCGCGGUAAUACGUAGGGUGCAAGCGUUAAUCGGAAUUACUGGGCGUAAAGCGUGCGCAGGCGGUGAUGUAAGACAGUCGUGAAAUCCCCGGGCUCAACCUGGGGACUGCAUCCAAAACUGCUGAACUAGAGUACGGUAGAGGGUGGCGGAAUUCCGCGUGUAGCAGUGAAAUGCGUAGAUAUGUGGAGGAACACCGAUGGCGAAGGCAGCCCCCUGGGCCAAUACUGACGCUCAUGCACGAAAGCGUGGGUAGCAAACAGGAUUAGAUACCCUGGUAGUCCACGCCCUAA